AUUGAACGCUGGCGGCAUGCCUUACACAUGCAAGUCGAACGGCAGCACGGGGGCAACCCUGGUGGCGAGUGGCGAACGGGUGAGUAAUGCAUCGGAAUGUACCCAGUAGUGGGGGAUAACUAGUCGAAAGAUUAGCUAAUACCGCAUACGCACUACGGUGGAAAGCGGGGGAUCGCAAGACCUCGCGCUAUUGGAGCAGCCGAUGUCCGAUUAGGUAGUUGGUGGGGUAAAAGCCUACCAAGCCUGCGAUCGGUACCUGGUCUGAGAGGACGACCAGGCACACUGGGACUGAGACACGGCCCAGACUCCUACGGGAGGCAGCAGUGGGGAAUUUUGGACAAUGGGGGAAACCCUGAUCCAGCAAUGCUGCGUGUGUGACGAAGGCCUUCGGGUUGUAAAGCACUUUUGGCGGGAACGAAACGGCGCUUUCUAAUACAGAGUGCUAAUGACGGUACCCGCAGAAUAAGCACCGGCUAACUACGUGCCAGCCGCCGCGGUAA
rnacentral:rRNA from 1 species